UACGUGGGGUGCAAGCGUUGUUCGGAAUUACUGGGCGUAAAGCGUGUGUAGGUGGCCUGUUAAGUCUGGUGUGAAAGCCCUGAGCUCAACUCAGGAAUUGCAUCGGAAACUAACGGGCUGGAGUCCGGGAGAGGGUAGUGGAAUUCCUGGUGUAGAGGUGAAAUUCGUAGAUAUCAGGAGGAACACCGGUGGCGAAGGCGGCUACCUGGACCGGUACUGACACUGAGACACGAAAGCGUGGGGAGCAAACAGG
rnacentral:rRNA from 1 species